rnacentral:rRNA from 1 species
GAGCCUGAGAAACGGCUACCACAUCCAAGGAUGGCAGCAGGCGCGCAAAUUACCCAAUCCCGACACGGGGAGGUAGUGACAAUAAAUAACAAUACGGGGUUCUUUCGGAUCUCGUAAUUGGAAUGAGUACAAUUUAAAUCUCUUAACGAGGAACAAUUGGAGGGCAAGUCUGGUGCCAGCAGCCGCGGUAAUUCCAGCUCCAAUAGCGUAUAUUAAAGUUGUUGCAGUUAAAAAGCUCGUAGUUGAAUUUCGGGGUUAGUAGGUUGGUCAUGCCUCUGGUAUGUACUGGUCUCACUGAUUCCUCCUUCCUUAUGAACCGUAAUGCCAUUAAUUUGGUGUUGCGGGGAAUUUGGACUGUUACUUUGAAAAAAUUAGAGUGUUUAAAGCAAGCUAACGCUUGAAUACAUUAGCAUGGAAUAAUGAAAUAGGACGUUCGAUCUUAUUUUGUUGGUUUCUAGGAUUGACGUAAUGAUUAAUAGGGAUAGUUGGGGGCAUUAGUAUUCAAUUGUCAGAGGUGAAAUUCUUGGAUUUAUUGAAGACUAACUACUGCGAAAGCAUUUGCCAAGGAUGUUUUCAUUAAUCAAGAACGAAAGUUAGGGGAUCGAAGACGAUCAGAUACCGUCGUAGUCUUAACCAUAAACUAUGCCGACUAGGGAUCGGAUGAUGUUAAUUUUUUAAUGACUCAUUCGGCGCCUUACGGGAAACCA